AGAGUUUGAUCCUGGCUCAGAUUGAACGCUGGCGGCAGGCUUAACACAUGCAAGUCGAGCGGAGAUGAGGUGCUUGCACCUUAUCUUAGCGGCGGACGGGUGAGUAAUGCUUAGGAAUCUGCCAUUUAGUGGGGGACAACAUUCCGAAAGGAAUGCUAAUACCGCAUACGUCCUACGGGAGAAAGCAGGGGAUCUUCGGACCUUGCGCUAAAUGAUGAGCCUAAGUCGGAUUAGCUAGUUGGUGGGGUAAAGGCCUACCAAGGCGACGAUCUGUAGCGGGUCUGAGAGGAUGAUCCGCCACACUGGGACUGAGACACGGCCCAGACUCCUACGGGAGGCAGCAGUGGGGAAUAUUGGACAAUGGGCGGAAGCCUGAUCCAGCCAUGCCGCGUGUGUGAAGAAGGCCUUUUGGUUGUAAAGCACUUUAAGCGAGGAGGAGGCUACUAGUACUAAUACUACUGGAUAGUGGACGUUACUCGCAGAAA
rnacentral:rRNA from 1 species